rnacentral:lncRNA from 1 species
AUGGUUAUAUAUGUCUGCAUUUUUUUUCAGCUCCCUACUGAAUCACUGUUUUAUCGUGCAGUUCUUCAAGAUAUUAUUAAAGAUUGUUAUGGCAUUACCAAAUGCAAUCAGCAUGUUGGUAAAAUUUAUUCCAAAUGCUCUUCCUUUCUGGAUUAUGUCAGAAAGUCUCUAAAGAAGCUUGGAUUAGAUGACUCCAAGCUGCCAGAAAAAACUAUAAUGGACUACUAUGAGAAGUAUAAGCCUAGAAUGAAUGAACUGGAAGCUUUUAAUAUGGGAGACUGGAGACCCCGGAGAGCACUGACCUUUAAAGAAAGAAAAGGAGACUGCCUGGGGGAUGAACAGUUUAUUCUCCUGACACUGUUCAACAAUCACAAAGGAAAGAGGUAAGACUUUUAUACAUGUAGGAAAACAGCUUAGAUAUUCUGGCUAUUGUCUUUUUGGUUUUAACAUCUGGUGAUAACAAGUGACUCUAAGUGACUCAUAAAAGCUACAGGCGAAUUUACAUGUCCCUUGUUUCCAUUCACUGAUCCAUACAUCUAAGAGCACACCGCAGCCCUCUUCUUAUCAGAUGGUAUCAAGAAAGCAGGGCGACUUCAGCAGAAGUCAAGCCCACCAGCCCAC